rnacentral:rRNA from 1 species
UACAGAGGUCUCGAGCGUUAGGCGGAAUCACUGGGCUUAAAGCGUGUGUAGGUGGGUCGUUAAGUGCCUUGUGAAAUCCCAUGGCUCAACCAUGGAACUGCUGGGCAUACUGGCGAUCUUGUGCCACCUAGGGGCGAGCGGAACAGAUGGUGGAGCGGUGAAAUGCGUAGAUAUCAUCUGGAACGCCAAUGGUGAAAACAGCUCGCUGGGGGUGUGCAGACGCUGAGACACGAAAGCCAGGGGAGCGAACGGG